GACGAACGCUGGCGGCGUGCUUAACACAUGCAAGUCGAACGGAAAGGCCUCUUUCGGGGGGUACUCGAGUGCGAACGGGUGAGUAACACGUGAGUAACCUGCCCUUGACUUUGGGAUAACUUCAGGAAACUGGGGCUAAUACCGGAUAGGAGCUCCUGCUGCAUGGUGGGGGUUGGAAAGUUUCGGCGGUUGGGGAUGGACUCGCGGCUUAUCAGCUUGUUGGUGGGGUAGUGGCUUACCAAGGCUUUGACGGGUAGCCGGCCUGAGAGGGUGACCGGCCACAUUGGGACUGAGAUACGGCCCAGACUCCUACGGGAGGCAGCAGUGGGGAAUAUUGCACAAUGGGUGGAAGCCUGAUGCAGCAACGCCGUGUGCGGGAUGACGGCCUUCGGGUUGUAAACCGCUUUCGCUCAUGACGAAGCUUUGUGUGACGGUAGUGGGUAAAGAAGCACCGGCUAACUACGUG
rnacentral:rRNA from 1 species